AGCAGCCGCGGUAAUUCCAGCUCCAAUAGCGUAUAUUAAAGUUGUUGCAGUUAAAAAGCUCGUAGUUGAAUUUCGGGGUCAGUAGGUUGGUCGUGCCACGGGUAUGUACUGGUCUCACUGAUUCCUCCUUCCUGAUGAACCGUAAUGCCAUUAAUUUGGUGUUGCGGGGAAACUGGACUGUUACUUUGAAAAAAUUAGAGUGUUUAAAGCAGGCUAACGCUUGAAUACAUUAGCAUGGAAUAAUGAAAUAGGACGUUGAUCUUAUUUUGUUGGUUUCUAGGAUUGACGUAAUGAUUAAUAGGGAUAGUUGGGGGCAUUAGUAUUCAAUUGUCAGAGGUGAAAUUCUUGGAUUUAUUGAAGACUAACUACUGCGAAAGCAUUUGCCAAGGAUGUUUUCAUUAAUCAAGAACGAAAGUUAGGGGAUCGAGACGAUCAGAUACCGUCGUAGUCUUAACCAUAAACUAUGACCGACUAGGGAUCGGAUGAUGUUAAUUUUUAAUGAUCAGUUCGCGACCUUACG
rnacentral:rRNA from 1 species